rnacentral:hammerhead_ribozyme from 1 species
AUCAAACUGACCAGUCUCAAAUAGGAUGAAACGCGUGUCUUAGAU